UACACACCGCCCGUCACAUCACGAAAGCCAGUUGUACUAGAGGCCGGUGACUUAACCGCAAGGGAAUAGCCGUCCAAGGUAUGACUGGUGAUUGGGGUG
rnacentral:rRNA from 1 species